rnacentral:tRNA from 1 species
GGGGAUAUAGUUAAGUAUAACAACCGGGUUGCAUUCGGUAGACACCUAAAAGGUUUUCCUCA